rnacentral:lncRNA from 1 species
AGCAAAGAACAGUCAGCACACAACUUGUAGAUUUUUGCUCUUGCCUGCUGUACUUCUUCAGCUGCUUCAUUGCCUUUGUUCAAAUGAACACCACUACCUUGUUCUCCCGAGUCCUGUUUUAGACCCUUACGGCAAUGAAGCAGCUGAAGAAGCAACCAGAAGUUCUUUCCGAUCAGAAUUGCGGUGAGGGUGGCGGGGAACAAGCAUUGUAGUGGAUUUGCUUGCAAUUGAGGAGCAAUUGACAUAUGGCGGGUCAGAACUCUUCAACAGCAGGUUCGUCAGCAGCAGAUUGCUUGGGAGAAUGCGAUUUUCAGGUACUGGUCUAGGCUAUGUAGACCAAUUAGUGUCUUUUUGAGCAGGAAGUGGAUUGUGGGAGUUUUCUCACUACAAUUCAAACAGAGAACAUGCUGGUAUAAUCAGAGCUUUAUGAAGCUUUAUGUUACUAGCUUGCACCUGUUUUUUGAUGCCUCAAAGACUGUCAUCACACACACUAGCUUUGUCGCUGUGUGCUGAAAUUUCAAA